UACGUAGGGUGCAAGCGUUGUCCGGAAUUAUUGGGCGUAAGGAGCUCGUAGGCGGUCUGUCGCGUCGGCUGUGAAAUCCCGAGGCUCAACCUCGGGUCUGCAGUCGAUACGGGCAAACUAGAGUAUUGCAGGGGAGACUGGAAUUCCUGGUGUAGCGGUGAAAUGCGCAGAUAUCAGGAGGAACACCGGUGGCGAAGGCGGGUCUCUGGGCAAUAACUGACGCUGAGGAGCGAAAGCGUGGGGAGCGAACAGG
rnacentral:rRNA from 1 species